AUGGCUGUCGUCAGCUCGUGUCGUGAGAUGUUGGGUUAAGUCCCGCAACGAGCGCAACCCUUGUCAUUAGUUGCUACGAAAGGGCACUCUAAUGAGACUGCCGGUGACAAACCGGAGGAAGGUGGGGAUGACGUCAGGUCCUCAUGGCCCUUAUGGGUAGGGCUACACACGUCAUACAAUGGCCGGGACAGAGGGCUGCCAACCCGCGAGGGGGAGCUAAUCCCAGAAACCCGGUCGUAGUCCGGAUCGCAGUCUGCAACUCGACUGCGUGAAGUCGGAAUC
rnacentral:rRNA from 1 species